CCCUUAGAUGUUCUGGGCCGCACGCGCGCUACACUGAUGCAUUCAACGAGUUUCUUCCUGGUCCGAGAGGAAUGGGUAACCUUUUGAAAGUGCAUCGUGAUAGGGAUAGACUAUUGCAAUUAUUGGUCUUCAACGAGGAAUUCCUAGUAGACGUAGUUCAUCAGACUGCAUCGAUUACGUCCCUGCCCUUUGUACACACCGCCCGUCGCUCCUACCGAUUGAAUGCUCAGGUGAGCCAUUCGGACUUUCAUCAUGCUGGUUUCCAGUUUUGAUGAAGGAAAGUCUUGCGAACCUUAUCAUUUAGAGGAAGUAAAAGUCGUAACA
rnacentral:rRNA from 1 species